AACGUGGGGGGCGAGCGUUAUCCGGAAUUAUUGGGCGUAAAGAGCACGUAGGCGGCGCUAAAAGUUGGGCGUGAAAGCUCUCGGCUUAACUGAGAGAGGUCGUUCAAAACUAUAGUGCUUGAGGUUGAUAGAGGAGAGUAGAAUUCCCGGUGUAGUGGUGGAAUGCGUAGAUAUCGGGAGGAAUACCAGUGGCGAAAGCGGCUCUCUGGAUCACACCUGACGCUGAGGUGCGAAAGCGUGGGUAGCAAACAGG
rnacentral:rRNA from 1 species